CAGCCGUAAACAAUGUGCGUUAGGUGUGUCGGUAACCACGCGUUACUGAUGCGCCGAAGAGAAAUCGUGAAACGCACCACCUGGGAAGUACGGUCGCAAGGCUGAAACUUAAAGGAAUUGGCGGGGGAGCACCACAACAGGUGGAGCCUGCGGUUUAAUUGGAUUCGACGCCGGACAUCUCACCGGAUAAGACAGCUGAAUGAUUGUCAAUCUGAAGGUUUUACAUGACUAGCUGAGAGGAGGUGCAUGGCGUCAGUGACU
rnacentral:rRNA from 1 species